ACGAACGCUGGCGGCGUGCCUAAUACAUGCAAGUCGAACGAAACUUUCUUACACCGAAUGCUUGCAUUCACCGUAAGAAGUUGAGUGGCGGACGGGUGAGUAACACGUGGGUAACCUGCCUAAAAGAAGGGGAUAACACUUGGAAACAGGUGCUAAUACCGUAUAUCUCUAAGGAUCGCAUGAUCCUUAGAUGAAAGAUGGUUCUGCUAUCGCUUUUAGAUGGACCCGCGGCGUAUUAACUAGUUGGUGGGGUAACGGCCUACCAAGGUGAUGAUACGUAGCCGAACUGAGAGGUUGAUCGGCCACAUUGGGACUGAGACACGGCCCAAACUCCUACGGGAGGCAGCAGUAGGGAAUCUUCCACAAUGGACGCAAGUCUGAUGGAGCAACGCCGCGUGAGUGAAGAAGGUCUUCGGAUCGUAAAACUCUGUUGUUAGAGAAGAACACGAGUGAGAGUAACUGUUCAUUCGAUGACGGUAUCUAACCAGCAAGUCACGGCUAACUACGUGCCAGCAGCCGCGGUAAUACGUAGGUGGCAAGCGUUGUCCGGAUUUAUUGGGCGUAAAGGGAACGCAGGCGGUCUUUUAAGUCUGAUGUGAAAGCCUUCGGCUUAACCGGAGUAGUGCAUUGGAAACUGGAAGACUUGAGUGCAGAAGAGGAGAGUGGAACUCCAUGUGUAGCGGUGAAAUGCGUAGAUAUAUGGAAGAACACCAGUGGCGAAAGCGGCUCUCUGGUCUGUAACUGACGCUGAGGUUCGAAAGCGUGGGUAGCAAACAGGAUUAGAUACCCUGGUAGUCCACGCCGUAAACGAUGAAUGCUAGGUGUUGGAGGGUUUCCGCCCUUCAGUGCCGCAGCUAACGCAAUAAGCAUUCCGCCUGGGGAGUACGACCGCAAGGUUGAAACUCAAAGGAAUUGACGGGGGCCCGCACAAGCAGUGGAGUAUGUGGUUUAAUUCGAAGCAACGCGAAGAACCUUACCAGGUCUUGACAUCCUUUGACCACCUAAGAGAUUAGGCUUUCCCUUCGGGGACAAAGUGACAGGUGGUGCAUGGCUGUCGUCAGCUCGUGUCGUGAGAUGUUGGGUUAAGUCCCGCAACGAGCGCAACCCUUGUUGUCAGUUGCCAGCAUUAAGUUGGGCACUCUGGCGAGACUGCCGGUGACAAACCGGAGGAAGGUGGGGACGACGUCAAGUCAUCAUGCCCCUUAUGACCUGGGCUACACACGUGCUACAAUGGACGGUACAACGAGUCGCGAGACCGCGAGGUUUAGCUAAUCUCUUAAAGCCGUUCUCAGUUCGGAUUGUAGGCUGCAACUCGCCUACAUGAAGUCGGAAUCGCUAGUAAUCGCGAAUCAGCAUGUCGCGGUGAAUACGUUCCCGGGCCUUGUACACACCGCCCGUCACACCAUGAGAGUUUGUAACACCCAAAGCCGGUGGGGUAACCGCAAGGAGCCAGCCGUCUAAGGUGGGACAGAUGAUUGGGGUG
rnacentral:rRNA from 1 species